rnacentral:rRNA from 1 species
UACGGAGGGUGCAAGCGUUAAUCGGAAUUACUGGGCGUAAAGCGCACGCAGGUGGCUGAGUCAGUCGAUUGUGAAAGCCCUGGGCUUAACCUGGGAAUUGCAGUCGAUACUACUCAGCUAGAGUAUGGGAGAGGGUAGUGGAAUUCCCGGUGUAGCGGUGAAAUGCGUAGAUAUUGGGAAGAACACCGGUGGCGAAGGCGGCGACCUGGUCCGAUACUGACGCUGAGGCGCGAAAGCGUGGGGAGCAAACAGG